GGAGUCUUUGUCCCGAACUCUCCAAAACUAAUGUAAAGAGUGGAUCUAGGUAAACAACUUGCAUUAAGUAGCAAUCAUAUUCUCCCGCUGUGGGCCUAAGACACGCCACUAAGAAUGUAUCAUCUCUUGAAGAACUGCAGUAAGAAAGUAAUGAAGAAUUUCACAUGUGAAACAAACUUCCAGUGCGAAUUUGAGGGGAUAUUUUAUUGAAAUGCGCCAAAUUAUCAAUAUAAUUGGGUAUUCUGCAGUGUGGGAAUCUUGCUGCUGAAAGCAGUGGGAAACUUCGAGGCUGAAUGCGGUAAGUUUGUGAGCGUUGGCAGGGAUUGUAAACCUUGCUGGAGCGCAGUGAAAAGCCCCUCAUUCCUGCAGGAAAGAACUUUUCUAAAGUGCUUGCAAAUGCAUUGAGGAUGGAAACAGAGACAUCUCCAUUCAAACAAUGGGAAGCUGGCAAGGACCGAGCGCAACACCCGGCCCCCAUGGCCAGCGGGGGCCGAGCGGGAGCCGGCCGUGCGAACGCCGCCUUCCCACCGCCGGCCCGGGACAGCGCUCGGGGAAGCGGCGGCAACACCGGCGCGGACGCGGACAGCGCUCCCGCCCCACGCGGGAAGCGGGGAACUUCUUAUGCUACAGUUUGAUACUGCUGCGGAUUUGGCCCGUGUGACUUUCCAAAGUCCCAAAGGGGCCCUGAGUUAAAUGAAGGAUUGGAAGUGAGAGAGCUUCCCAGGUUUUCUGUACAGCCCUCUGGCAGGUAGUUCACACUACUUCCUUUGAGAAUGAAUAGUUACUACCUAUUGCUUGGAGUUUGUUGAUUCACAGUUCCUACAGGAAACCAUCUGUAAAUAUUAGGCUGUGUAAUUUGUAGUGAUAUUAAACAAAGUGAUGAGAAUCCUACUUAAGAAAAAAAUUGAUAGCUUUCCAUAUGGUUCCAAAAAGCUUAACACCGAUACUAGUUAGCAUAGUGUAGGAACAGCAGAGUUCUGACUCAAUUAAUCUGUAAAAACGAAGUCUUAGUGAAACAUUAAUUUUCCAAAAUUACAGAAUGUUUUAAUGUGAUUGUAAUUGCCCCUCUGUGCUUUUAAUUUUUUGCCAUUGUUACAAUGAAUUAUAACUCCUUGUAACCAAAAUCUUUAGAUGCGAAAAAGCCAGGCUAGUAUGCUGGCAUCCUAUUAUAAAGAUGGUCUCUGUAUAAUGCAAUCAUAGCAUAUCCAUUCUGAUUUAUGCGGAUAACUUACACUGAUUUGGGGGUUUCUUUUGCAUCAGUAUUGUGAUCCUGUUGUGUCUCAGGUUCAGCCCUUUACAUCUUUGCAUCUUACCUUUCUAUAAUGUGUUUUCCUGGAGAGCUGCACUUAUAUUGAGGACAGAUGGAAGUGCUGGGUGUUGUACAAAGGAGGCACGGCAAACUCGCUUAAGGGGUGUUGGGGAGAGAAGCCCUGUGGAAACUCUGAUGUGAGCUAAGGACUGUGUUGCAAUGGUGUCUGAUCAGCAGUUCCUCAGGACCCAGAGUGGCUCUGGACGUCUAGUACUGUGUAUGUGCCUGGACAGACUCCAGCAACAUUCCUACCCUAUGGAACCAGCGCAUUAAGCCUUGCUCAACACCCUGUUUGGGUGUGUCUGUGCUGCGCUCCAGUUAUCAGGAGUGCAGAGGAGCCCAGUGCAGCAGGUGUCCAGGCAGAGGCCUGAUGCUGCAUGGUACUGAGCUGGAGGUACUGAUUCAGCCUGAGCACAGCACCUGCGUGCUCUGCUCCACAGUGCACAGAGAGGAGCUCAGGAGCAGUCCUGCAUCCGGGCUCAAUUUGUACCAUGCUCCACCAAAGCCCAGACUGAGUUCAGUCUGAGGUUAAUAGCCCUAACUCCAUCCCAAAGCCUCUCAAAUCCAUCUGGACUUUGCUACCUGACUCUCCUGGGAGCACAGUAUAGGGAUAAUUGGGCAAGAUCUACAAGAUGCAUUCAUAUUCUGUGCUACAUGAAAGUACUUGUAUGGAUGUGAAUCUUUCAGUGGACUGGGCUGCAGCCUUAGCUAAUGAACUCAAUCAGACCUAAAUUGGCUCUGCACAGAGCUCAUCGUGUUGCCUCUGUUGCUUCACCAUUCCUGAUAUACAACUCAUCACGUGUAGGGUAUAUGCAGAUUAGCUCUAUCUGGUGUUGUAGGUGUAGAUGCAUAAGGUAAAAUAUGAUUGGACAGAAAAUAUCACUAAAGAAUUAAGUGGAAAAUUUGUAGAGAGAGUCUGAGUAGCAUAAGGGGAUUGUGUUAAAGACUAGGUCCAUACCCUGGCAAUUUACCAUUAAAUUUUCUUAUGGGAAAAGGAACAGGUCCAUAGGAACAUGGGAUUUGCCACAGGAAAAAGUGACUGUAGUACUAAACUUCAACUGUACUUUUAUGUUCCUUUUUUCAGUGUUUGUAAUAGUUAGAUAUUUGUGUUCUCUUCCAUUGCAUGCUACAGUUGUAAUCUAGCAAAGUGCUUAAAUUGUGUUCUUUAGAGCUUUACUGGAUCAGGGCCAUUUUCAGUACUUCCAAAAAGUAAAGGCUAAAGCAUUCUCUGAAAUCUUUGGCUAGAGAUUGUCUAAUAUUAUUCCUUACCCGUAAGGAUCUUAUCUUCACUCUCCCAUAGGAACUGAAAUAGCAAAUGUCAUGUAUGCAGCCUUGGCAGACACUUUUGAACUUGGAGGACUUCUUUUGGUGAAGUAGUGUGGGCCAACAUGCCUGAAACAUGUUCAAAGCUUUUUAUCAUUCCUCAUCCAUUUGAAAUACAAACAGACAAUUCCCAGUUUCCAAAACAGGGCUAGACAUAUGUUGUGAUGGUGGCAGUGACUCGAUAAGGAAAUAUGGGAAGCAUAGUCUUCAGCUGACUGUAUAGAAUGUGCUUUAUCCA